rnacentral:lncRNA from 1 species
UCUUUUGCAAAAGAAGUAACACCCUACAAACCGGAGUUGGAAAAACACCUGCGACAACUGAGAAAAGAGAAAGAUCUCAUCAAAAAAUUCUUGGGGCAAUCUUUAACCUAAGAGAACAUGGAUAAAAAUGGUGAGCAAGUAUUGAUACCCAGUUUUUUAUAUAUAUUUUAUAGACAUAUAUACUUUCAAAAUAGCAUAUAUAUGCAUAUAUAAAUAUGCACAGGNNNNNNNNNNNNNNNAAGUUUCCAAUAAUUAUCCUUCAAAUUAUUAUUGUGGUAAUUUAGUUAUCUAAAUCCUAUAUUUAUUCCAAAAUAGUGCUUAAGUAUUUUUAGUACAUUUUUUAUAAUUGCAUUUGUGUUUUUAAAACUAAUUUGCACAUAUUUGCAAUACUAGCCCUAUUAACGCAUGGUUACAUUUAUAUGCAUAAAAUGAUCUUCUAUAUUUUUAAAAUGUUAAAUAUCUAUUUUUAAUUAUUUAGUACACAAAAUUAUUUUUUAGAAAUUAUUUAUUAUUUAUUAUAAAUUAUAUAGGGUUAAAUUGGCUAUUUAAAACUUAGCUAAAUUGUAUUUCAAUUUUAGCCUAAUUUCGACCCAACACCCAUCCCAAUUCUUAAUUAAAUUACUCGACCCAGGCCCUAAAUGCACCUACCCGACCCAAGGCCCUAUCAGAUCCUGGUCGUUGAUCUAAAAGAUCAACGACCCUCGUUUGUUCUUUCCUUUUUAAUUCCAAACGACCCCCUAACCCUAAUCAUUUCUCUACACUCGCCGCCCUAAGAUCCUCUCCUCUCUCAAAACACUCUCAACCUAACCCUAAUAUCCAACUGCAAACCUCCCCUCUCCGGUCAUCUCUAGUGACUCUCAUCAUCUCUUAAGCCUCUAAUGGCUUCUCUCAUGCCAUGCUUGCCUUCUCUAAGGUCUUCAAGGGCCCAGGGCCAUGCCGACUUGCAUCUAGGGUUCAUCUCCUGGCUGAUCUUGGCUAUUACAGUGUGGUUUCAAGCAAAAUCAUUCUAUAUUUGCUACGAUCUUUUGAGUUUCUAGACAGGUUUCUUCAUCUCUAUAUAGGUUCUUUCGAGACCCUAAUUUCUUUUAUAUACCUCAGAUCUAGGAUGAUUUGAGUUUGUUUCUUGAAUGUUUUACGCUAUCCUUGAGGUUCUUUAUAAGAAUCAUAUGAUUUCAAGUGUUUUUCAUCUUCUUCUAAAACUAGGGUUUUCGGAACUUCUUUUUAAAACCUUGUUUAACUGAUUCUUUGUGUUUAAACUUCUAUUUCUCACAUAUCUUGACUGAUUCUAUAAGCUUACUGCAUCUUUAACUCUUCUAUAUUGAAAGCCCUAAUUUUUAGGGUUCUUUCGUUUGGUUCUGUGUAUUAGCAUGACUGACCGAUCCUCGUUUUUGAGUUUCUAUGAUUUCUUGUGACUAUCUUGCCUUGAUAUGUUUCUACUGAGUUUCGCCUAAACUUACACUGAUUCUGUGUGCUUGUAUUCAUCUUGAGUUCAUCUUGACUAUUCAAGACUUGCCUCUUUCUCAUUGAAUCAAUACUGUUUGACUCUUAUGUUUGCUAGAGUUGUAUGUCGACUCUUGACUAUCCAUGUCUUACUUUAUUUAUAUGCUAAGUGCUAACUCUUUUCAUGACUUUCUCUUUGAUUGAUUCUGAAUUUCUUGUUUCUUGGUUUAAUUUGAAAACUUUCCUUUAAACCUUCGAUUCUUACCUUCCUACUCAAUAUGAUUGAUUUGCUUGCCUAAAUUAACUUUCACUUACCUUGUCUGUAUUGUUACUUGAUUCUUACCGACUAUCUCCUUAAUUAGAAUUUUCUGAACAUGACCCUAAUUGUUUAAUCUAUACCUAUUGUAUUUGAAGUCUGUCCUUAUUGGUCGUACAUUGAUUUCUUUCCUUAUUUGUUAUUUAACUCCUUAUUAAAGGGAAGUACUUACACUGAUUAGUACAUAGUUCCAUUAUUAUUGCUGAACUAUGAUUCUUGCCUUAUUUUCUACCUGUUUUCAAACUAUAAAUACCCUGCUCUUUCAUUAACACAAGACACGAACACAUUAGUUCAAAACUCUCUCACACUCAAAAACGCUUCCGCUCUCUCUUUGGUUACUUGCUAUUAUUCUGAGUUAGCCAGCUGCAAACCAAGGUUAACUAUUGUGCUAUCCUAUUCCUCAGUUUGUGUUUGCUAUCUCUCUACUUGUAUGUUCUGAUUUCAAUUCGAGUCCCAAAGCCAAUAUGUUUCUUUUACUGCUUUAAUUUAUCAUGUUUCUAAUUUGUUUCUAUCUAUGGUUUUGUUGUUCAACAUGCAAUUGAUAUGUUUACAUUAUUGCUUCAUCUAGCAUGCUAGUCUAACCUUCUUAGGUCCUUUCAGAACAUGUUCUACCCCCCCCCCCCUAGUGGUCUGUCUCAACAUGACUCUACCCUUUUUUGAAUGCUUGUCUACUUGUUAUCCAGUUUUGAUAUGCAAACUAAUCUGUCACUUUAAAUGGUUGAUUCUAUGAUUGUUUCUGAAAUUUCUACUGUGUUGGUACCAAUAUCUAUCCCCUAAUCCUUAAACCCCCACAAGAACUGCUAUGCUCAUGUAUAUUAUGUGCUCUAUGUGUCCCCAAUUCACAUUCCCCUGUGUGAAGGACUGUUAUUUGAGUGUUUUUGAACUUGUUUGACUGGCCUACUGUGUGUUUAAUUACACAAUUAUUUUCAAAAGCUGUUUUACUAAACAACUCUCUUAUUUACAAAAUUAUUUUAACUAAGUCUCUUUUUACACUACUUUCCUGCUAAAACUUUUCAAAAAUUAUGUCAAGCACUCUCACUCCAUUCUUAGAUCCUUAAGUUCUGCCCCUCAACGUGUCGUGACUGCCUUGGGAUACCUAUGAGAUCUCUCUGAACUCUGANNNNNNNNNNNNNNNNNNNNNNNNNUAUGGAAUUUGGCAUUUGAGGCUAUUGGAGGCUUGAGAAAAUCAUUUGGGCCUAUUUUCAGGCUCUCUAUAGUGUAACUUCUUGUUUUCCUUUCUACUUGUGUAAUUCAUGCAAUAUUGGUCUGUAAUAAUUUGUUGUAAAUAAAUAUUGGGGUUUGGCUAGUGAAAAGGGGAGGGUAGUUGUCACACCUCCUUUUUCCUAUACUCGUAGGGGAAAGUAUAAGGGAGUUUUUUCCAAUUUAAGUGACAAUCGAAAUGGGAUCAUUUUAUCAAAAGUUUAGAGUCGUCACUUGGGAUAAUUUUAUGGUGUCCCAAGUCACCGGUUCAAAUCCCGAAUCGAGGAAAAGAUUGACUCUGUUUUACAGUCCGCGAACACAAAAAUCCAGGUAAGGAAUUCUGUUAACCCGGGAGAAGGUGUUAGGCAUUCCCGGAUUUCGUGAUUCUAGCACGGUCGCUCAACUAUUAUAAUUGGCCUAUUAUCUGAUUCUAAUACAUGUUUUAACCUAUGGUACAAUUUUAACUUUAUAACUGCUUUUGUUUAAUUAUUUUUAGGAAAGAUUCAACGUCAUCUAAAACAUGUCUUGAACCAUGUCACAUAAAUGCACCCGCGGUCCACGACACAUUUUAUCUAACGUUGUUGAGCUUUGGAUUUGGGUCACAUAAAUGCACACCCGAGUUUAGGAAGGUAAUUUUUAAAAUAGCGCGCCUAAAGAAACUACGCAUCUUCAAGUUUGUGAGGGCCAUGAAAAUUCAACUCAAUGGCACGCCUCGAUUUCUAAGGAUUAAAAGUUGAUUAAGUGAGGGCCAUGCAUUUUAAGAUUUUUAUUUGGCACAGCGCACCUCAAUUUUUCUAUAAAAAAACUAGCUAGUUUUAUGAAGACCAUGGGCUUAGGGGUUUUAUUUAGUUCGGCCUUUCUACCACUCCCCCACGGCCCCAUUCAAUCAUUAGAAUCACUUCCAUCCAAUCGUCCAUACAAAUAUAUUUGAGAUAAACAACCAAACAACUAAGAUAAGGAUAAUCCAAAGAAAGUGAUGUACGAGAGUUAAGAAUACUAAUAAUAUAGUACGAACCGAAGCAGCAGGACAACUAUUUAAAUAUUUCUAACUCUAUCCAUUUUUGUUUCUACCACUCAAUCUCAAAUUCAUUAACUCUGCCAUAAAGUUAUUUCACAAUUCCUUCAUUCACUGCCAAAUUUCAUCAAAAUAUUUAACACUUAUCUUCAACUUUCAAACAUGAGAGAAGUAAGCCACUCAAUACUAACCUCAAGUCAACCUAACUUUAAUCCAACACAUAAGAACCUCUUCUAUAAUUAUACAUUCAUGAUCAUAGUGUAAACAAAUAAAAUAUCAUGUAACCCAACAAAAUUGCCUUCGGGCUGCGUGAAACAAAUACUUUGAAUCUGCUAAUUUAUAGCACUAAGCUAAUAGCCCAAAGAUAAUAAAGUAAUCACGAUCAUCAACAUCAAAUUGGAGUGCUAUGUAGCUAAUAAAUAAUAGAAGCAAUAAAUGAAUGCACAACAUCAUAAAGGAUGGAACAGAGAUAACAAUGUACCUUAUAUUGCCUUUAAAUUUUUUGCAAAGCAAUGAUCAAAACAACAAUGAUGACUACGACUGGAACCAACAGCGACGACCUCGACGGAACCUCCGAUUUAGUGAUUUCGGAAGUGUUUGCAGCUGGUUCUGCUGCUGGUUCGAUGGCUGGAAUAUAGCUACUGUUUUUCCGUAUUCCGGAGCUAUUUCGAAGCUGUUUUGUGGAUGGUUUCGUGGGUGUUGAAGCUCCUUUAAUGGCUGCUUUUCAGCAGUGUUUUGAAUGUAUUUUUGGCUAGGACUUGCACUGUUUUGAGGCUGUUUUGUUCAGUUGCGUUUUUGCUAUUUUAGGUGAGUUUACAUGGUGAUUUUAAUAGAGGAAAAUGUGAUUUAUGGGUGGUAAUGGACUGGUGUUACAUGGGGGUUUACAUAGUAAGUCUUCGUGUAAACAAAGAUGUAUAAAGAUGGAGAAGAAGGACAAAACUUGCUUUUCCUUGGUGUUAUCGAAGAAAGAUGGAGGUUGUUGUGUAUGUAGAUGUUUUUGGUUGCCUUAAGGGUUGAAGAAACAGAUGGG